GAUGAACGCUGGCGGCGUGCUUAACACAUGCAAGUCGAACGAAGCACUUUAUUUGAUUUCCUUCGGGACUGAUUAUUUUGUGACUGAGUGGCGGACGGGUGAGUAACGCGUGGGUAACCUGCCUUGUACAGGGGGAUAACAGUUGGAAACGGCUGCUAAUACCGCAUAAGCGCACGGCAUCGCAUGAUGCAGUGUGAAAAACUCCGGUGGUAUAAGAUGGACCCGCGUUGGAUUAGCUAGUUGGUGAGGUAACGGCCCACCAAGGCGACGAUCCAUAGCCGACCUGAGAGGGUGACCGGCCACACUGGGACUGAGACACGGCCCAAACUCCUACGGGAGGCAGCAGUGGGGAAUAUUGCAAAAUGGGCGAAAGCCUGAUGCAGCGACGCCGCGUGAGCGAAGAAGUAUUUCGGUAUGUAAAGCUCUAUCAGCAGGGAAGAUAAUGACGGUACCUGAAGAAGAAGCACCGGCUAAAUACGUG
rnacentral:rRNA from 1 species